UACGGGGGGAGCAAGCGUUGUUCGGAUUUACUGGGCGUAAAGGGCGCGUAGGCGGUCAGCACUAAGUCGAGUUGUGAAACUCCGGGACUUACCCGGAAAGGUCAACUGAUACUGUGCGACUAGAGUGCGGAAGGGGCAAGCUGGAAUUCUGCGGUGUAGCGGUGAAAUGCGUAGAUAUCGAAGAGGAACACCUGCGGCGAAGGCGGGUUGCUGGGCCGACACUGACGCUGAUGACGCGAAAGCCAGGGAGGCGAACGGG
rnacentral:rRNA from 1 species